GGCUUAGAGUUUGAUCAUGGCUCAGGAUGAACGCUGGCGGCGUGCCUAACACAUGCAAGUCGAGCGAAGCACUUUACUUUGAGAUCUUCGGAAGGAUAAGUUUUGUGACUGAGCGGCGGACGGGUGAGUAACGCGUGGGUAACCUGCCUCAUACAGGGGGAUAACAGUUAGAAAUGACUGCUAAUACCGCAUAAGACCACAGCACCGCAUGGUGCAGGGGCAAAAACUCCGGUGGUAUGAGAUGGACCCGCGUCUGAUUAGCUAGUUGGUAAGGUAACGGCUUACCAAGGCAACGAUCAGUAGCCGACCUGAGAGGGUGACCGGCCACAUUGGGACUGAGACACGGCCCAAACUCCUACGGGAGGCAGCAGUGGGGAAUAUUGCACAAUGGGGGAAACCCUGAUGCAGCGACGCCGCGUGAGCGAAGAAGUAUUUCGGUAUGUAAAGCUCUAUCAGCAGGGAAGAAACUGACGGUACCUGACUAAGAAGCACCGGCUAAAUACGUGCCAGCAGCCGCGGUAAUACGUAUGGUGCAAGCGUUAUCCGGAUUUACUGGGUGUAAAGGGAGCGUAGACGGAUAGGCAAGUCUGGAGUGAAAGCCCGGGGCUCAACCCCGGGACUGCUUUGGAAACUGUUUAUCUAGAGUGCUGGAGAGGUAAGUG
rnacentral:rRNA from 1 species